rnacentral:rRNA from 1 species
CCUACGGGAGGCUGCAGUGAGGAAUAUUGGUCAAUGGGCGAGAGCCUGAACCAGCCAAGUCGCGUGAAGGAUGAAGGAUCUAUGGUUUGUAAACUUCUUUUAUAUGGGAAUAAAGUGAGGAACGUGUUCCUUUUUGUAUGUACCAUAUGAAUAAGCAUCGGCUAACUCCGUGCCAGCAGCCGCGGUAAUACGGCGGAUGCGAGCGUUAUCCGGAUUUAUGGGGUUUACAGGGUGCGUAGGUGGUGAAUUAAGUCAGCGGUGAAAGUUUGGGGCUCACCCAUAAAAUUGCCGUGGAAACGGGUUGAGGUGAGGAUAUUUGAGGUAGGCGGAAGGCGUGGUGUAGCGGUGAAAUGCAGAGAUAUCACGCAGAACUGCGAUUGCGAGGGCAGCUUACGAAACUAGAACUGACACUGAAGCACGAAAGCGUGGGGAUCAAACAGGAUUAGAUACCCGAGGAGUG